rnacentral:misc_RNA from 1 species
GAAAUGCGAUAAUUAAUGUGAAUUGCAGAAUUCAGUGAAUCAUCGAGUCUUUGAACGCACAUUGCGCCCCCUGGUAUUCCGGGGGGCAUGCCUGUCCGAGCGUCAUUGCUGACCUCAAGCACGGCUUGUGUGUUGGGCUUCCGUCCCUGGCAACGGGGACGGGCCCAAAAGGCAGUGGCGGCACCAUGUCUGGUCCUCGAGCGUAUGGGGCUUUGUCACCCGCUCCCGUAGGUCCAGCUGGCAGCUAGCCUCGCAACCAAUCUUUUUAACCAGGUUGACCUCGGAUCAGGUAGGGAUACCCGCUGAACUUAAGC